AAGGCACAAUGACCAGGACAGUACCGAGCUUUGCAGCCAUAUUAAACUCACCUCCAGCUCAGCACAUUCCACUCAAUCACUCAAAAUCGUCCUUUCCUGCUGGUAAAUAACACUGAAAUUGUGGGAAGAUGGGAUGGUAAGCACAAAGUCUGUCUCUGGAAGCACCGGCGCUAUCUCUGAAGACAAACUGAUCGUAACACAAGCCGACCCGGUGGAACGACCUCCAUGCUAAACCCUCAGCUCCCUCUGCAUUUGGACUGUCGCCUGAUGGAAGGUGCGAGGAACCCUGUGACCACGUUGCAGUACAGAGGCAGCUUGGCCAGCCCACCCCUUGGGCCUAAUUUUUCUCCCUGGCCAAAGGGGUCAAACUAUUCCAGUGCUGUGUGCGCCCUGGGCUCCAGAGUAAUCAAACACACAUGUUUGGCGCUCCACUAAUCAGGGAAUGAAAUAAAGCUAGAUGUUUCC